UUGGAACUGAGACACGGUCCAAACUCCUACGGGAGGCAGCAGUGAGGAAUAUUGGUCAAUGGGCGGAAGCCUGAACCAGCCAAGUAGCGUGAAGGACGACUGCCCUAUGGGUUGUAAACUUCUUUUAUGCGGGGAUAAAGUUCGCCACGUGUGGCGUUUUGCAGGUACCGCAUGAAUAAGGACCGGCUAAUUCCGUGCCAGCAGCCGCGGUAAUACGGAAGGUCCAGGCGUUAUCCGGAUUCAUUGGGUUUAAAGGGAGCGUAGGCCGCCUUUUAAGCGUGUUGUGAAAUGUAGGGGCUCAACCCCUGCACUGCAGCGCGAACUGGAGGGCUUGAGUACACACAAAGUA
rnacentral:rRNA from 1 species